GAUGAACGCUGGCGGCGUGCCUAAUACAUGCAAGUCGAGCGAACAGACGAGGAGCUUGCUCCUCUGACGUUAGCGGCGGACGGGUGAGUAACACGUGGAUAACCUACCUAUAAGACUGGGAUAACUUCGGGAAACCGGAGCUAAUACCGGAUAAUAUCUUGAACCGCAUGGUUCAAUAGUGAAAGACGGUUUUGCUGUCACUUAUGGAUAGCUCCGCGCCGAAUUAGCUAGUUGUUAAGGUAACGGCUUACAAAGGCAACGAUGCGUAGCCGACCUGAGAGGGUGACCGGCCACACGGGAACGGAGCCACGGUCCAGCCUCCUACGGGAGGAGGCGGUAGGGAAUCUUCCGCAAUGGGCGAAGGCCUGACGGAGCAACGCCGCGUGAGUGAUGAAGGUCUUCGGAUCUUAAAACUCUGUUAUUAGGGAAGAACAAAUGUGUAAGUAACUAUGCACGUCUUGACGGUACCUAAUCAGAAAGCCACGGCUAACUACGUG
rnacentral:rRNA from 1 species